GACGAACGCUGGCGGCGUGCUUAACACAUGCAAGUCGAACGGAAAGGCCCUUCGGGGUACUCGAGUGGCGAACGGGUGAGUAACACGUGGGUGAUCUGCCCUGCACUUUGGGAUAAGCCUGGGAAACUGGGUCUAAUACCGAAUAGGACCACGCGCUUCAUGGUGUGUGGUGGAAAGCUUUUGCGGUGUGGGAUGGGCCCGCGGCCUAUCAGCUUGUUGGUGGGGUAAUGGCCUACCAAGGCGACGACGGGUAGCCGGCCUGAGAGGGUGACCGGCCACACUGGGACUGAGAUACGGCCCAGACUCCUACGGGAGGCAGCAGUGGGGAAUAUUGCACAAUGGGCGCAAGCCUGAUGCAGCGACGCCGCGUGAGGGAUGACGGCCUUCGGGUUGUAAACCUCUUUCGCCAGGGACGAAGCGCAAGUGACGGUACCUGGAGAAGAAGGACCGGCCAACUACGUGCCAGCCGCCGCCGUAAUAC
rnacentral:rRNA from 1 species